GCGCCGGCUAACUACGUGCCAGCAGCCGCGGUAAUACGUAGGGCGCCAGCGUUGUCCGGAAUUAUUGGGCGUAAAGAGCUCGUAGGUGGCUUGUCGCGUCGGGUGUGAAAGCUUGGGGCUUAACUCCAGGUCUGCAUUCGAUACGGGCUGGCUAGAGGUAGGUAGGGGAGAACGGAAUUCCUGGUGUAGCGGUGAAAUGCGCAGAUAUCAGGAGGAACACCGGUGGCGAAGGCGGUUCUCUGGGCCUUACCUGACGCUGAGGAGCGAAAGCGUGGGGAGCGAACAGGAUUAGAUACCCUGGUAGUCCACGCUGUAAACGUUGGGCGCUAGGUGUGGGGACCUUCCACGGUUUCCGCGCCGUAGCUAACGCAUUAAGCGCCCCGCCUGGGGAGUACGGCCGCAAGGCUAAAACUCAAAGGAAUUGACGGGGGCCCGCACAAGCGGCGGAGCAUGUUGCUUAAUUCGACGCAACGCGAAGAACCUUACCAAGGCUUGACAUCGCCCGGAAAGCUCUGGAGACAGAGCCCUCUUCGGACUGGGUGACAGGUGGUGCAUGGCUGUCGUCAGCUCGUGUCGUGAGAUGUUGGGUUAAGUCCCGCAACGAGCGCAACCCUUGUUCCAUGUUGCCAGCACGCCCUUCGGGGUGGUGGGGACUCAUGGGAGACUGCCGGGGUCAACUCGGAGGAAGGUGGGGAUGACGUCAAGUCAUCAUGCCCCUUAUGUCUUGGGCUGCAAACAUGCUACAAUGGCCGGUACAGAGGGUUGCGAUACCGUGAGGUGGAGCGAAUCCCUAAAAGCCGGUCUCAGUUCGGAUUGGGGUCUGCAACUCGACCCCAUGAAGUCGGAGUCGCUAGUAAUCGCAGAUCAGCAAUGCUGCGGUGAAUACGUUCCCGGGCCUUGUACACACCGCCCGUCACGUCACGAAAGUCGGCAACUCGCACGAAGACUCCGUGGCCC
rnacentral:rRNA from 1 species